UACAGAGGGCUCAAGCGUUGUUCGGAAUCAUUGGGCGUAAAGGGCGUGUAGGCGGCGCGGUAAGUCGGGGGUGAAAUUUCGGAGCUUAACUCCGAAACUGCAUUCGAUACUGCGGUGCUUGAGGACUGUAGAGGAGACUGGAAUUCAUGGUGUAGCAGUGAAAUGCGUAGAGAUCAUGAGGAAGACCAGUGGCGAAGGCGGGUCUCUGGACAGUACCUGACACUGAGACGCGACGGCCUGGGGAGCAAACGGG
rnacentral:rRNA from 1 species